ACCUAAGUGCCAGAGUGGUUUGAGAAUUGGACUGUGACUCUGGAGACCAGGGUUCAAGUCCCUGCCAUGGAA